UUAUUGGGGCACAAUCUGUCAGUCCACUAUGAAAGCGAAUAAAGCGGGAAAUAUAAUAAGAGAAAGGGAAACCAGAAAGAAAGAGAACAUGUAUUUACAUUUAGGUUCUUCCUUCUCUGUUUCUAAGUCUCGUUCCCUUCUUCUCCAACAUCAACCAAAGCUUUUCUCUUGUUCCACUAGAUCAUCAAUCCAAUAUUACUCUUCACCAGUGAAAAUGAGUCAAACAAUUGAACACAUAGUCCUCUUCAAAGUCAAAGACAACACUUCUUCAUCCAAGAUCGACUCCAUGGUCAACGGAUUAAACAGUCUGAUCUCAAUCGAUAACGUUCUUCACUUAUCAGCAGGACCCAUUUACAAAACCAGAUCAACUUCUUCUUCUUUCAGUUUCACUCACAUGGUACAUGGCAGGUACAAGAGCAAAGAUGAUCUCGACAAUUAUCUUGGUCACCCAGCACAUUUAAGCCUUGUAAAUGAGACUAUUGACCCUAUUUGUGAUGAUGUUAUGCUUGUUGAUUGGGUUGCUGAUCUUGAUGAGCCACUUAUUGUUCCUUCAUCUGGUGCUGUGAUGAAGGUGAGUUUGUUGAAGUUGAAAGAGGGGUUAGAAGAAAGUGAGAAGGCAGAGGUUUUGAAAGUAAUUGGAGGGGUUAAGGAACAUUUUGGAUUUAUAGAUCAGUUUACCUUUGGAGAGAAUUUUGCUCCUGUGAAAACAAAUGGGUUUUCGAUUGCAUCGCUUGCAAUCGUUCCUGGGUUAAGUGAAUUGGAAGCAUUGGAUUCUAAUGAGGAGGUUGUCAAAGAGCAGAAGGAGAAAGUGAAAGACUUCUUGGAAAGUGUCAUCGUGGUCGAUUAUGCAGUUCCUGCAACAGAGUCAGGCUAGUGUUUAAUGACUAUUCAGCUCGCGAAGCUUAAUAAUAAUCAAUUUUAAUUUUGUCUAUGCAUUGUUAUGUCUGUUUGGGGACUUGUCUGUAAUAUGAAAUACUGUUGUAUGGAGAUUAUAAUAUUUGUCUAUACUUGUAUUUUAAAUGUUCUUGAAUGCAUUUGCUUUGGAAUACCAAAAAUUAUUGAAGUUGUGCAAGUUACUCUAAUACUAGAAACGUAUGCUUAAUACAUUGUUCUGUUUUAUUGUAAGAAAGAAAAUGAUAAAUGCCUCAACAAGAGUCUGUGAAAGUAGGCAAGAAAGAAGAGGAAGUAGUACUGCAUAACUGCAUUUGUGAUGAUCUUCAAAUAAAUACAACUUAAAAACCCACCCAUUACAUGGGUGAUGGGCCGAAGCUCAAAUGGCUGGCUGGUUAGAGUCGGUGUGUGGUGGUGGUGGUGAACGGUGAUGGUUUUUAGGGUUUACAUAUUUGCUUAUAAUAAUAUACUGUAGAUAAAUAGAAGAAGAGAAGAGGGUUGGAUUUCCCUUAUGAUACGAGAAGAAUUAAUUAUAGCCUAGGUUAAUUAUCAUGGAAGAGUUUAAGGAUUUCCCUUACGAAGAGAAAAUCAUUCGCAACCCUUUCAGUUUAGAUCUCUGGUGGAGGUAUUUGUUAUCAAAGCGUGAUUCACCAGUGAAGGAAAGAUUUGUUGUGUAUGAGCGUGCACUAAGAGCUCUACCUAGUAGCUACAAGGUAUGGCAUGCUUACCUCUCUGAACGUAUAAACAUGGUUAAAAAUCAAAAUCUCCCAACAACAUAUCACCCUGAUUACAUUAGUUUAAACUCAACUUCCGAGAGAGCUCUAAUUACUAUGAAAAAAAUGCCUAGGAUUUGGUUACUUUAUUUGCAAUUUUUGACUGAACAAAAACUUAUCACCAAAACAUGUCUCCUCACCUUUGAAAGAGCUCUUUCUGCAGCUCUUUCUGCUCUUCCUACGACACAACACCACUUGAUUUGGCCAUCUUAUUUGCAAUUCAUUACUCAAGAGGGUACUGCUGUUACUGAUCAGACUCGUCUCGAUGUGCAUAUCAGAUAUUUAAUUUUCAACCCUGCCCACAUUGUUACCGUCGUACAGUAUCUAUUUGACUCUCGACUUUGGUCUGAAGCCGCACGGACACUUGCCUGUUCCUUGAAUUCUAACAAUAACCAUGCUGAUACUACCACUAAACAUCGGCUUUUGCUCAAAUUGCGUGCUCUGCUUGCUUGUCAUGCAAAACACAUAGACUAUGAUAAUAUAAAAUCCGACAACCCUCAUAUGUUGUGGCAUUCUCUUGCCCGACUUUACGAGGUUCAUGCUGAUGUUUCCAAUGCACGAGAAAUUUUCAAAAAGGCUGUGCAGAUGAAUGACACAUCAGUGGAACAUCUCAUAGAUCUCUGGUUUCAGUGGGUUGAGAUGGAGCUAAGACAUAAAAACACUAGAGGAGCUUUGGAGCUCAUGAGACGUGCCACCACAGAGCCUUCCCUAGAGGUUAGACAGACACUUGCUUUUGCGGGAUAUGAGCCUGUGCAGAUGAAGCUGCACAAGUCCUUGAGGAUGUGCUAUUUUUAUGUGGACUUGGACGAUAGUCUAGGUACUUUGGAGUCCGCUCGCAUAGUCUAUGAACGAAUGUUGGAUUUGAAAAUUGCCACCCCAAACAUCCUUAUUACACAUGCUUACUUGAACGACACACGUUGUUUGAUGAAGCAUUUGAAGUCUAUGAAAGAGGGGUCCAAAUGUUCGAGUAUCCCCGUGUCAAUAAAAUUUGGAUAACUUACAUCUCCAAAUUACAAAUUUGUCGAGAGGUAUGGCAAGACUAAGUUGGAAAGAGUAAGGGAGUUGUUUGAUCGAGCUCGUGAAAUGGCACCUGCUGAGUUUGCCGAUCCUCUAUAUCUGCACUAUGCCAAACUGGAGGAGGAUUAUGGCCUUGAAAAGUGUGCAAUGAAAUUGUACGAUCAAGUUGCAAACUCUGUCCUGGAUAAUGGUGAGGAGAUGAGCCUCUACGGAAACUGUAUUGCUCACGCAGCUAAGAUUUUUGGUGUCCCCCAAACAAGGGAGAUAUACGAGCUUACAAAAAAAUCUGUUGGGCUCCCAGAUAAAGACGUUCAGCUCAUGUGCAUGAAAUAUGCCUAUCUAGAGAACAGCUUGGGAGAAAUCGGUGAGGCUCAGGCAAUAUAUACAUUCGCUUCUCAAUUUGCUGAUCCACAAUAUGAUACUGAUUUUUGGAGCAAGUGGCUCGAAUUUGAGGUGAGACAUGGAAAUCCAAGCACAGUUCAAGAGAUGUUGCAGAACAAACAUAUUAAUGACAAAAUUGAUAUUGCCCAAAAGGAUAUUCCCUCCAAACUAAAAGUGGUGGAGACCAAUAAGGAUAAAUGUAGACAGAGAGAGACAAAGCUGGGCACUCUCGAAAAGAUCAAGAGGCAAAAGAUGGGGUUAGAUUGAUUUUUUACAGCUAAAUAUUGUGCUGUCUAAAUAAUCACUUCGUGUUUGGUAUUUAAUCUGCAAUACUCAUGCUGAGAUUAUCUCUUUUCUGUGUUUGAAGGGUGUGUCCUUUAAAGCUAGCUAGUAUUUUUGCUCCUAUUUUCCGAUUAUACAAAAUGCUCGGGUUGGUUGAGUAUUUUAUGUGUGCAGUGUCAACUAUACGGUCUCGUAAUUACGUUUAAUUUGUAUAUUUGCUCUUGUUUGUAUUUUCAUAUGGUAAUGUUAGCUUCAGUUUCAAAACAUGCUUUUGAUACAUAAAGGCAUAUAGCUUCUAUUACAGAUACGGUUGGCUGUAGGGCAUUGUAGAGUUUUUUUAUCUAUGUGGAAAUGAAGAGUUUUUCAUUUAGUCUAGAUCCGGAGAAAUUGAGUUUCUUGCAGGGAUUCCAUGGUCUGCAAUAGGUCAAGAUUAACUUAAUGGUUUUGGUCUCCUAUACAUUUGUAUAAGCUAAUUAACUUCUGAAAUUGUGGAUUUGUUUUCAGAGUAUGUCAAUAGUUGUACACUGGUACAUAUGCUUGAUUAAUUUCGAGUAAGGAUGUUGAAAAUUUCGAGUAGUGUCUUCAUGACAAAUACAAUCUAGAUAGAGUUGUUUACUUAUCCUGACUUUCAAAAGCUUUCUUUAAUUUCGAGUAUUUCAUAAUAUUUCUGAAUAUCAUGGAUCAAAAUGAUUUUAAUAUUAGAUAUCAAUCAAGACCCUGUCAAUCUAUCAGAUUGAUUUAAAGUACAUGUGAUUUGUUAUUUCACACACUGUGAUUGGAUCAUUUAAUAUUAUGAUGAACACUUAUUUUACCAAUAAUGCUGCAUGUAUCACAUGGGUUGAACUUGAAAUGUUGAAUUGAUCAGUUGGGGUUGGUGAUUGGUAUAAUAAUUUGUUCGUGAUUUCAAUAAUGAGAAUAGUUCCAUUUUAGGCCAGGAGAGUUGUCAGAGAGAACAUGUGCUUGAUUGAUUUGGCAGAUUUGCUACAUCUCAGUCUCCUCUUUAAAUUCAACCAAGGCUCUUCUCUUUCUCAAUAAGUAGUUCAUCACAACACUUCACUACUGUAAUAAUACUGUUACUCUUCUCUUAUCAAAAUGAGUCAAAUAAUUGAACACAUUGUCCUCAUCAAAGUCAAAGAUGAUUCUUCUCCAUCCAAGAUCAACUCCAUGGUUGAUGGAUUAAACAGUCUGAUCUCAAUUGAUAAUGUUCUUCACUUGUCAUCUGGACCAACUUACAAAACCAAAUCAACUUCUUCUUUCAACUUCACUCAUAUGGUACAUGGCAGGUUCAAGAGCAAAGAAGAUCUCGAGAAUUAUCUUGGACACUCAGAGCAUUCAAGGGUUGUGAAUGAGACUAUGGAGCUUUAUGAGGAUGUCAUGCUUGUUGAUUGGGUUGCUGAUCUGAAUGAACCACUUGUUGUUCCUUCUGGUGCUGUCAUAAGGUUGAGUUUGUUGAAGUUGAAAGAAGGGUUAGUAGAAUGUGAAAAAACAGAGGUUUUGAAAGUGAUUGGUGGGAUUAAGGAUCAUUUUGGAUCUAUUAAGCAGUUUACCUUUGGAGAGAAUUUUGCUCCAGCAAAGACAAAUGGGUUUUCGAUUGCGU
rnacentral:lncRNA from 1 species